UACGGAGGGUGCAAGCGUUGCUCGGAAUUAUUGGGCGUAAAGGGUAGGUAGGUGGUCUCAUUUGUCUGGGGUGAAAGCCUUGAGCUUAACUCAAGAAGUGCCCUAGAAACGGUGAGACUAGAGUCCUGGAGAGGGUCGUGGAAUUCCCGGUGUAGCGGUGAAAUGCGUAGAGAUCGGGAGGAACACCAGCGGCGAAGGCGGCGACCUGGACAGGUACUGACACUCAACUACGAAAGCGUGGGGAGCAAACAGG
rnacentral:rRNA from 1 species